UACGUAGGGGGCUAGCGUUGUCCGGAAUCAUUGGGCGUAAAGCGCGUGUAGGCGGCCCGGUAAGUCCGCUGUGAAAGUCCAGGGCUCAACCCUGGGAUGCCGGUGGAUACUGUCGGGCUCGAGUCCGGAAGAGGCGAGUGGAAUUCCUGGUGUAGCGGUGAAAUGCGCAGAUAUCAGGAAGAAUAUCCGUGGCGAAGGCGGCUCUCUGGGACGGUACUGACGCUGAGACGCGAAAGCGUGGGGAGCGAACAGG
rnacentral:rRNA from 1 species